CUCUCUCUCAUUUUGCCUCUCCCCCUCUCUCACGCACACACAUUUUGCCUUUCUCGCCCUUUUUCCCCCUACCUCUCUCUUUCUCCCUUCCUCUCUCUCCAUCGUCCCGCAAAAACUCACAGCCACUCCUCUCUCUUUCCCCUCUCUCCCUACUCAUCCCUCUAACCAAAACAAUCCGAAUCUACAACCAAAAAGCACAAUGAAACGGCAAAGAAAUUAUAUAAACC
rnacentral:misc_RNA from 1 species